rnacentral:rRNA from 1 species
UAAGACGAACCGUGCGAACGUUGUUCGGAUUCACUGGGCUUAAAGGGCGCGUAGGCGGCUCGCCCAGUCGGGGGUGAAAUCUUUCCGCUUAACGGGAAAAUGGCCUCCGAUACUGGCGGGCUGGAGGAGGGUAGGGGCGCGCGGAACUUCCGGUGGAGCGGUGAAAUGCGUAGAUAUCGGAAGGAACGCCGGUGGCGAAAGCGGCGCGCUGGACCCUUUCUGACGCUGAGGCGCGAAAGCCAGGGGAGCAAACGGGAUUAGAUACCCCGGUAGUCCUGGCCCUAAACGAUGGGAACUAGGUAGUGGGCUUGCAUGGGCUCACUGCCGAAGCCAAAGUCUUAAGUUCCCCGCCUGGGGAGUAUGGUCGCAAGGCUG